AUCAGAGAACCAAUAACUGCGGAUUCGGUUUUAAUGGGUAUUGUAAUUGUGGAGUGGCGGCAAGAGAAAAUAACGACGUGUUCAUUUUGGACAUAUGCAAAGAUGCACAUAUCCAAAAAAUUAUACGAGGCCAUGAAGUUGUACCGAACAUAUGGUAUCGAGCUGUAGACGACGAUGCAGAAAGUUUUCCGGUUCCUGACACACAUUACAUUAAACACCCAGGAGGAAAAAGGUUUACGAUUCAAUUUUCUUCCGGAGCGCGGGUAGUCAUAGCUAUAUUCAGUAGAAGAAUUACUUACCUCGAUCUACGUGUCCACGUGCCGUCAUACUUCAGACAACAGGCAACCAAAGUUAGUGGGCUUUGUGGGAACUUAAAUGGCGACAUAAGAGACGAUACGCCGACUUUUUUGCCUAACAUCGGCUCCAGUGCUACCUACUUUGACCCCAACGUCCCUAUAACGACUCCGCCAUCACACGUAGGAAGUAUUAUCAAAG